GCCUCCUUGGCACAGUCGGUAGCGCAUUUCCAUGGUAAGGAAAAGGUCGCCGGUUCAAGUCCGGCAGGAGGCU
rnacentral:tRNA from 1 species